GUAGGUGGCAAGCGUUGUCCGGAAUUAUUGGGCGUAAAGCGCGCGCAGGCGGUUCUUUAAGUCUGAUGUGAAAGCCCACGGCUCAACCGUGGAGGGUCAUUGGAAACUGGAGAACUUGAGUACAGAAGAGGAAAGCGGAAUUCCACGUGUAGCGGUGAAAUGCGUAGAGAUGUGGAGGAACACCAGUGGCGAAGGCGGCUUUCUGGUCUGUAACUGACGCUGAGGCGCGAAAGCGUGGGGAGCAAACAGGGAUUAGAUACCCUGGUAGUCCACGCCGUAAACGAUGAGUGCUAAGUGUUAGGGGGUUUCCGCCCCCUUAGUGCUGCAGCUAACGCAUUAAGCACUCCGCCUGGGGAGUACGACCGCAAGGUUG
rnacentral:rRNA from 1 species